GAUGAACGCUGGCGGCGUGCCUAACACAUGCAAGUCGAGCGAUCUUCUUCGGAAGAGAGCGGCGGACGGGUGAGUAACGCGUGGGUAACCUGCCUCAUACACAUGGAUAACAUACCGAAAGGUAUGCUAAUACAAGAUGAUAUAAGAGAUUCGCAUGGAUUUCUUAUCAAAGCUCCGGCGGUAUGAGAUGGACCCGCGUCUGAUUAGCUAGUUGGUAAGGUAAUGGCUUACCAAGGCGACGAUCAGUAGCCGACCUGAGAGGGUGAUCGGCCACAUUGGAACUGAGACACGGUCCAAACUCCUACGGGAGGCAGCAGUGGGGAAUAUUGCACAAUGGGCGAAAGCCUGAUGCAGCAACGCCGCGUGAGCGAUGAAGGCCUUCGGGUCGUAAAGCUCUGUCCUCAAGGAAGAUAAUGACGGUACUUGAGGAGGAAGCCCCGGCUAACUACGUG
rnacentral:rRNA from 2 species